UUUAAUGAAGAAUGCAGAAAUGGUGCUCAGAGUCAGAACAGGACUUCGAAGUCUGCUGCUGUCACAUGAGUGAUGACGUGCCAGGAUCUUUGCUGCUUUGGUAGCAGGUUACUCCUUUGCUUGGCCAUCAGCUGCCCACUGCUGCUGGAGGAAGAGUGAAUCAUGCCAGUUAAGAUCACUGCUUUUCAGGAAGUGGUGUUUGAGACCUUAUUGUGCUAUGAAGAGAUACAGAGACCAUAUCACCUAGCUCUAGAAAAGCAUAUUUGGGAUUUGAGAUCUUGCAGGAGUUAGUAGAAGACAAUGGAAAACAGGCUUCAGUUUCUCUAAACCUGUGCCAUGUUCUUCCAUGGAAAAUGAGACUGCAAUGGCAAAACCCUGGAGAAGGACUCUUCCUGCCUCACCUCUGGGAGGCUGAGAGCUCUUCUGCCACUUAUAUGCCAUUUAUAG